UACGGGGGGAGCAAGCGUUGUUCGGAUUUACUGGGCGUAAAGGGCGCGUAGGCGGUCGUGACAAGUCACUUGUGAAAUCUCCGGGCUUAACUCGGAACGGUCAAGUGAUACUGUCGGACUAGAGUACAGAAGGGGCAACUGGAAUUCUCGGUGUAGCGGUGAAAUGCGUAGAUAUCGAGAGGAACACCUGCGGCGAAGGCGGGUUGCUGGGCUGAUACUGACGCUGAGGCGCGAAGGCCAGGGGAGCAAACAGG
rnacentral:rRNA from 1 species